rnacentral:snRNA from 1 species
GUGCUUGCUUCAGCAGCACAUAUACUAAAAUUGAAACGAUGCAGAAAAGAUUAGCAUGGCCCCUGGGCAAGGAUGACACACAAAUUCAUGAAGCAUUCCAUAUUUUU